rnacentral:rRNA from 1 species
ACUCCUACGGAAGGCAGCAGUAAGGAAUAUUGGUCAAUGGGGCGGAAGCCUGAACCAGCCAUCCCGCGUGCAGGAUGAAGGCCCUAUGGGUUGUAAACUGCUUUAGACUGAGAAGAAACCCCUCAAUGCGUUGGGGGCUGACGGUAUCAGUAGAAUAAGCACCGGCUAACUCCGUGCCAGCAGCCGCGGUAAUG